UUAAGGUGGGGGAGUAACCGUACGGGGAAACCCCGGGGACCUAAUACCGCAUAACAUCCUGGAGACUUAAGUCAUUGGGAUCGAAGGAGUAAUUCGCUAGAGGAGGGGUCCGCGGCCGAUUAGCUUGUUGGCGGGUAACGGCCCACCAAGGCAAUGAUCGGUAGCCGGUCUGAGAGGACGCACGGCCACACUGGAACUGACACACGGUCCAG
rnacentral:rRNA from 1 species